rnacentral:misc_RNA from 1 species
GUUGAACUUCAAAACCUGACUAUAGUAUGUAGGCAUCCAUGUCAGUAGAAUAAAUGUUCCCCAAUUAUGACAGAAAUGUGAGAUAAUGAGGGCCCAGACAGGUGCCUUUGAUAAAAUUAGUUUCCAUGGGAUGUUAGUGACAGGUUCCUUAGAGACACUUCCAUCCAAGAUCAGCCUCUUUUCCUGCUCACUAAGCCCUGGAUCAUCUUUCGGAGUGCUAUAUGCCUUGGUCAACCAGAGUGCAAACCAGAUGCUUCCAAGGGAACCAAAGGAAUAAAAUACAGAUGGCCAUCCGAAUUUUUGGAUCAAAAUAGGAGAGAAAGCUAAUCCUGUAACAGAACCAAGAUACAUUCCACUAUACACUAGAGCAAGAGAUCUGCUUCUUUCUGAGACAGGAAUCCAUUUUGAGAGCAUAUUAUUCAUGGCAGGCAUUGCGACACCCUCCCCAAUACCCAUUAAGGCACGCACAACAAGUAAGAACGGCAGUCCAAGUCUGGCAGCAAAAGGAGUCAAAACAGUUGCAAUCGACCACCAGACAACUCCGAAGCCAAGCACUACCUUCCCACCAAGUUUAUCUGCCCAUAUUCCUCCAACAAUCUGAGUGAGAAGAUAGCCCCAGAAGAAGGAUGACUGGAUGAGACCAACCGUAGCAUUGUUCCAGUUAAAUUCCUUUGACAUUGGAAGAAUUGCAAUGCUCAUGUUUACACGAUCCAUGUUGCAUAACAAAAAUGCAGCAAAACACAGCAGUACAACAAUCCAUCUUCUUGGAAAUUGCUCCCACCAUGGUUUUGCUUGCUCAACCCCUUCCACCAAAAUGGCUUCACUUGCCCCUUCCGAUGACA